UUUUGCCCUAACGAACUCCCACCCUGCGACCCCCGCUUCCUCGCCUCGGGUCAGCCGGCCGGGCGCUCGCACGAGAGUGGGGCGCCGGAUGCCGCGUCCCGCCGCGCCUCGUGAGCGCAGGUUGAGUCGCCGGUGCGCGCCCGACUGCCCUAUCUCGAGCAGGCUCCCGCUUAAUUCUCCCAAAGCUAAGCAGAUAACCGUUAUGGCUUCCCCGCAGGGAGGUGAACCCAAAAGCAGUUCCUCCACGAAAGCUGUGGAAAACCAAGAAGCCCUGAAGACCUGUGCACUGGUCAGCCAGUUUCCAAAUUCGGUCCAAGACGAGGUCAGUGAUUUCCUUGCCAGUGUUGUAGUAACCUCGGGCAUAGCUAUUGGCAGCAUCUUCUUUGCCUGUGAUGAGCUGCUCAGGGUGGAAGAGCUGGCGGUAGGUGCCAGUGCACACCUCAUCAAUGACUCGGUUCCAAGUCUACAAACACUGCUCUGGGCAUGUGCUUGCCAGCACCUGUCUCACUGAAGAAGGUGUUGAAGGAGUCCUCUCCCCCAACAGUCUUGUCACUUGGCAUCUGGCCAUCGGGCUGGAUGCCGUGUUCCAGGCAGUAGAGCUCCCAGCAGGCAUUGCGGAUCUGGACAUAAGCCUGGCCAACUCAGAUGGAGACGCACUCACACGUGGGGGCUAUGGCUCAGCAGGCGCAGGCAACAGAAGUAGACGCCGGUCUUGGCUACCAUCCCCGACAAGCUAAGAGUCAAGUAACACACUCUGUUUUCCAGUUUUAAUGGGUUUGAGAAAACUGAAGAGGAAAUGGAAUAGAAGAAGAGGAUAAUCCAAGAUAAGUUCACAGCGGUAGGCCAGGCCCAAUCCUGAAAGGCCAUUUAGGCCUUGACAAUGGUGAUAACUCCAAAUGCGGCAGGCCUUGGCAGGUCUUCAUCCGGGUACCACAGGACUUGUUUGAAAAGGAAAAUUAUUGUUGGGUGUGAAGAGGACUCAGAUGGGACAAGCAUGGUGAUGCUGCUUGCCCUCAAUUGCAAAUGGAGCUAGAGGAGAAUAGAGAGCAUUUUGGCUGAAGUCACCAAGAUGUGGGAUUCCAUGCACAUUGGACUGGUACACAGGAGGGCUACUGGCAAUAUAUAUUCAAAGUCUUUAAAAAAUACACAUCUUUGGGAGAGGGUUUUGGGGGAGAAUGGAUACACAUAUGGCUAAAUCCCUCCACUGUUCACCUGAAACUACCACACAUUGUUAAUCAGCUAUAUCCUAA
ensembl:lncRNA